GCCGAGGUGGGGUAACGGCUAUCCUGUAGGACUGUGGAUCCUUCGAUCCGGGUUCAAUUCCCGGCCUUGGCC
rnacentral:tRNA from 1 species